GACGUAGGGCGCGAGCGUUGUCCGGAUUCAUUGGGCGUAAAGAGCUCGUAGGCGGCUGCUCAAGUCGAAUGUGAAAACUCGAGGCUCAACCUCGAGCCUGCAUUCGAUACUGGGCGGCUAGAGUCUGGUAGGGGGAUCUGGAAUUCCUGGUGUAGCGGUGGAAUGCGCAGAUAGUCAGGAGGAACACCGGUGGCGAAGGCGGGAUCCUGGACUGGUCCUGACACUCAGGAGCGAAGCGUGGGGAGCGAUCCGG
rnacentral:rRNA from 1 species